rnacentral:rRNA from 1 species
CCUACGGGAGGCAGCAGUGGGGAAUAUUGGACAAUGGGGGGAACCCUGAUCCAGCGACGCCGCGUGAGUGAAGAAGUAUUUCGGUAUGUAAAGCUCUAUCAGCAGGGAAGAAAGAAAUGACGGUACCUGACUAAGAAGCCCCGGCUAACUACGUGCCAGCAGCCGCGGUAAUACGUAGGGGGCAAGCGUUAUCCGGAUUUACUGGGUGUAAAGGGAGCGUAGACGGCGAUGCAAGUCUGAAGUGAAAGGCGGGGGCUCAACCCCUGGACUGCUUUGGAAACUGUAUGGCUGGAGUGCAGGAGAGGUAAGUGGAAUUCCUAGUGUAGCGGUGAAAUGCGUAGAUAUUAGGAGGAACACCAGUGGCGAAGGCGGCUUACUGGACUGUAACUGACGUUGAGGCUCGAAAGCGUGGGGAGCAAACAGGAUUAGAUACCCUAGUAGUC